GUGAGACCAUGCGGCCUCUCCAUGUGGGCCUCUCUACAGGCUGCUUUGGCUUCCUUACAGAAUGGCAGCUGGGUUUCAAAGUUCACAGGUCUCUAGAGCAAGAGGAUCAAAUUGAAGGAGCUUCAUCUAUACUUG